rnacentral:rRNA from 1 species
CGAAGGGUGCUAGCGUUGUUCGGAAUUACUGGGCGUAAAGCGCGCGUAGGCGGCUAUUCAAGUCAGGGGUGAAAUCCUUGGGCUCAACCCAAGAAUUGCCUUUGAAACUGAAUAGCUAGAGUGUCGGAGGGGAUAGCGGAAUUCCUAAUGUAGAGGUGAAAUUCGUAGAUAUUAGGAGGAACACCGGUGGCGAAGGCGGCUAUCUGGACGACAACUGACGCUGAGGCGCGAAAGCACGGGGAUCAAACAGGAUUAGAUACCCUGGUAGUCCGUGCUGUAAACGAUGGGUGCUAGCUGUUUGGGGGUUACCCCUAAGUAGCGUAGCUAACGCGUUAAGCACCCCGCCUGGGGAGUACGGUCGCAAGAUUA